GAUGAACGCUGGCGGCGUGCCUAAUACAUGCAAGUAGAACGCUGAAGGAGGAGCUUGCUCUUCUGGAUGAGUUGCGAACGGGUGAGUAACGCGUAGGUAACCUGCCUGGUAGCGGGGGAUAACUAUUGGAAACGAUAGCUAAUACCGCAUGACAACAGUUAUUGCAUGAUAACUGUUUAAAAGGGGCAACUGCUCCACUACCAGAUGGACCUGCGUUGUAUUAGCUAGUUGGUGAGGUAACGGCUCACCAAGGCGACGAUACAUAGCCGACCUGAGAGGGUGAUCGGCCACACUGGGACUGAGACACGGCCCAGACUCCUACGGGAGGCAGCAGUAGGGAAUCUUCGGCAAUGGACGGAAGUCUGACCGAGCAACGCCGCGUGAGUGAAGAAGGUUUUCGGAUCGUAAAUCUCUGUUGUAAGAGAAGAACGAGUGUGAGAGUGGAAAGUUCACACUGUGACGGUAUCUUACCAGAAAGGGACGGCUAACUACGUG
rnacentral:rRNA from 1 species